UUUAUGGAGAGUUUGAUCCUGGCUCAGGAUGAACGCUGGCGGCGUGCCUAAUACAUGCAAGUCGAGCGAACAGAUGAGAAGCUUGCUUCUCUGAUGUUAGCGGCGGACGGGUGAGUAACACGUGGGUAACCUACCUAUAAGACUGGGAUAACUCCGGGAAACCGGGGCUAAUACCGGAUAAUAUUUUGAACCGCAUGGUUCAAUAGUGAAAGACGGUUUCGGCUGUCACUUAUA
rnacentral:rRNA from 1 species